CUACAAUGGCGUAAACAGAGGGAAGCGAGCCUGCGAGGGGGAGCGAAUCCCAAAAAUAACGUCCCAGUUCGGAUUGUAGUCUGCAACCCGACUACAUGAAGCUGGAAUCGCUAGUAAUCGCGGAUCAGAAUGCCGCGGUGAAUACGUUCCCGGGUCUUGUACACACCGCCCGUCACACCAUGGGAGUCGGAAAUGCCCGAAGUCCGUGACCCAACCUUAGGGAGGGAGCUGUCGAAGGUGGAGCCGGUAACUGGGGUGAAGUCGUAACAAGGUACC
rnacentral:rRNA from 1 species